rnacentral:rRNA from 1 species
UACGUAGGGGGGCGAGCGUUGUCCGGAUUUAUUGGGCGUAAAGCGUCCGCAGGUGGUCUUUUACGUUCGGGGUGACAGUUCCCGGCUCAACUGGGAAAGUGCUUCGAAAACGGGAAGACUUGAGGGCUUGAGAGGAAAGCGGAAUUCCGGGUGGAGUGGUGAAAUGCGUAGAUAUCCGGAGGAACACCAAUGGCGUAGGCAGCUUUCUGGCAAGUACCUGACACUCAUGGACGAAAGCUAGGGGAGCAAACGGG